UACAGAGGUCCCAAGCGUUGUUCGGAUUCACUGGGCGUAAAGGGUGCGUAGGUGGUUUGAUAAGUCUGAUGUGAAAUCCCGCAGCUUAACUGCGGAACUGCAUUGGAAACUAUUUGACUAGAGGAAUGGAGGGGAGACUGGAAUUCCUGGUGUAGCGGUGAAAUGCGCAGAUAUCAGGAGGAACACCGGUGGCGAAGGCGGGUCUCUGGGCCGUAACUGACGCUGAGGAGCGAAAGCGUGGGGAGCGAACAGG
rnacentral:rRNA from 1 species